rnacentral:rRNA from 1 species
GACGAACGCUGGCGGCAUGCCUAAUACAUGCAAGUCGAGCGAACAGAUGAAGUGCUUGCACUUCUGACGUUAGCGGCGAACGGGUGAGUAACACGUAAGGAAUCUACCUAUAAGCGGGGGAUAACAUUCGGAAACGGGUGCUAAUACCGCAUAAUAUCUUCUUCCGCAUGGAAGAAGAUUGAAAGACGGCUCUGCUGUCACUUAUAGAUGACCCUGCGGUGCAUUAGUUAGUUGGUGGGGUAACGGCCUACCAAGACGAUGAUGCAUAGCCGACCUGAGGGGGUGAUCGGCCACAUUGGGACUGAGACACGGCCCAAACUCCUACGGGAGGCAGCAGUAGGGAAUCUUCCGCAAUGGGCGAAAGCCUGACGGAGCAAUGCCGCGUGAGUGAAGAAGGCCUUCGGGUCGUAAAACUCUGUUAUAAGAGAAGAACAAAUUGUAGAGUAACUGCUACAGUCUUGACGGUAUCUUAUCAGAAAGCCACGGCUAACUACGUGCCAGCAGCCGCUGUAA